rnacentral:miRNA from 1 species
GCUGGGCGUGGUGGCGGGCGCCUGUGAUCCCAGCUACUAGGGAGGCUGAGGCAGGAGAAUCACUUGAACCCAGGAGGCGGAGGUUGCAGUGAG